UAUGGAGUAUCUGAAGGAAAAUCUGCUUUUUAAAUAAAAAGCUUCAAAAAAAAAAAAAAAAACCAGAGAGAGCUUCCAGAGCACUUUGAAGCACAUGCCUGUGGAGUUUUAAAAGGAUAACCAAGAAAAGAAAAAUUGGAUUGGAUUUUUUUUUUUUACUGACAAGUUUUAGAUACUGGGAGGAUGAAGGUGGAGCAUUGGCAUUGCAUUGAUGAAUACACUAAAGCUGUGCUUCAUGAGGAGAGAAAUCUGCCUGAAACAUAUUAACUAACCCAUUCUUACCUCAAGGAGAUAAAAGCGCAAAAACUCUAUUGUCAUAAUUUCCAGCUCCUCUGCUGUCAACUCAACUCAUGGAAGGAAAGCUGGACUACAAAUAAACAGUUUGGUCCUGUGUACAACCAAACUGCUCCGAAUGAAUCCAAUAUCCAUUAUAUCUAAGAAACAGGCUGAGCCUGUUUACUACAGGCGUGAGUGGAAUAGAACUAGUUUACAGUGUGUUGUGUGCUCUAAAGGCCAAUGAAGGUAACACAGCACUUCUGAUCUGGAACCAUAAUAAAUUCUACAGUAGAAAAUUAUAGAAGCUCCAAAUACUCCAUCCAAGGAUGUUGUGUAAAGAUGUCACAGGCCAUCAUAUAGGUAUUAGAGUGAUAUUAUCUUCUUCAUAUUCACCUGCAUUCUCUAGCUCUGAUGACCACGUGGCUAUAAUAAAAGAAGUUGACAGAAAACUA